rnacentral:tRNA from 1 species
ACCUGGCUGGCUCAGUCGGUAGAGCGUGUGACUCUUAAUCUCAGGGUUGUGAGUUUGAGCCCCACAUUGGGCA